CAUGGAGAGGGUUCCAGCGGCAAAGGGGGCCCAGGUGUGGGACAGGUCUGUGUUUCCCAUAGGGAGCCUUCAGGGCGCAGAAGCCAGCCAAUUCCACUCCUCUUCCCCAGGUAAGUAGAUCCUCAGAGACAGGACCAAAGGAGUAUCGAAGGAAGGCACUGUGAAUGGAUCUUUUGCUUAGGAAAUUUGGUGUCGGUCAGGGGGAGCCAGGACCCAUUUGAGGAGCCCAGGCUAGGGAGAAGCAGGGGGAGGGUUGGGUCUGUGAAGUGCCAGGAUACCACAGUACAAGGGGAACUGAGGGGAGGCACAGCAGGGGCUCGAAAAUGGAGCCUGAAAUCAAGGGACAGGGAUAGGGUCUUCGAGAAGAAUGGCCAGGGGUUCCAGCAAGGAACCGGGCCCAGGAAUGGAAAGCCAAGUGCCUUGACCCUGGACAGGGUUGCAUAAAAAGGG
rnacentral:lncRNA from 1 species